CAACCUUGAUGUCUGGCGGGCGGCAAGGGGCUCCGCGGGAGAGUGGAGAGGCGCCGCAGGAAGCCCAGCCACCUUCAGGCCACCGCCGACCCCACUGUGCGUCUGGGAGGCGCUGGGCGCGCACCGUACUGUCAAGAUGAUAAGCAUGGAAUAAAGCUUCAGAAGGGUCUUUACCAAUCUUUCUCCUACCAACUUUUACAUACAUGAAAUCAGGUUAAAAUGAACUUUACAGAAAUACUUCACAAGGGAAUAAAGUAGAGGAAAAAGGGAUAACAUGUAACAUGGAGUCAAGGAAAAAGAGUGUGAAGUAGUUUUGCUCUCUCUAUCUUGCAAAUAGGAGUCCUUAAAGACAACUGGGAGAAGGGGUUUGAGAUAGUGAAUUCCUAAGAAGAAAAUAAUGGAUUGCAUAUUAGUUGUUCUCUAAGUGGACUCAACAGUGUGCAAGCUUGUUGGAAAAGCCAAAAGAAGAUGGCAACUCCUUAUGUCCCAGUUCCUAUGCCCAUAGGAAACUCUGCUUCCAGUUUUACAACAAACAGAAAUCAAAGAAGUUCUUCUUUUGGCAGUGUCUCAACAAGCU
rnacentral:lncRNA from 1 species